rnacentral:rRNA from 1 species
UCCGUGCCAGCAGCCGCGGUAAUACGGAGGGUGCGAGCGUUAAUCGGAAUUACUGGGCGUAAAGCGCAUGCAGGUGGUUUGUUAAGUCAGAUGUGAAAGCCCGGGGCUCAACCUCGGAAUUGCAUUUGAAACUGGCAAACUAGAGUACUGUAGAGGGGGUAGAAUUUCAGGUGUAGCGGUGAAAUGCGUAGAGAUCUGAAGGAAUACCGGUGGCGAAGGCGGCCCCCUGGACAGAUACUGACACUCAGAUGCGAAAGCGUGGGGAGCAAACAGGAUUAGAUACCCUGGUAG